CAAACAACUCUCGACAACGGAUAUCUCGGCUCUCGCAUCGAUGAAGAACGUAGCAAAAUGCGAUACCGGUGUGAAUUGCAGAAUCCUGUGAACUAUCGAUUCUUUGAACGCAAGUUGCGCCCAAAGCCAUCAGGCCGAGGGCAUGUCUGCCUAGGCAUCAUGC
rnacentral:rRNA from 1 species